AAUCAACGCUGGCGGCGUGCCUCAGACAUGCAAGUCGAACGAUUAAGACUCCCUUCGGGGAGUGCAUAAAGUGGCGCACGGGUGAGUAACACGUAAGUAAUCUACCCUCGAGUGGGGAAUAACGUUCGGAAACGAACGCUAAUACCGCAUAAUGCAGCGGCACCGCAAGGUGACAGUUGUUAAAGGAGCAAUCCGCUUGAGGAGGAGCUUGCGGCAGAUUAGCUAGUUGGUAAGGUAACGGCUUACCAAGGCUACGAUCUGUAUCCGGCCUGAGAGGGCGGUCGGACACACUGACACUGAAUAACGGGUCAGACUCCUACGGGAGGCAGCAGUCGGGAAUUUUGGGCAAUGGGCGAAAGCCUGACCCAGCAACGCCGCGUGAAGGAUGAAGUAUUUCGGUAUGUAAACUUCGAAAGAAUAGGAAGAAUAAAUGACGGUACUAUUUAUAAGCCCCGGCUAACUUCGUGCCAGCCGCCGCCGUAAAAC
rnacentral:rRNA from 1 species